rnacentral:lncRNA from 1 species
GUCGUGUUCGACUUAGAGUAGGAGACAGACUCCUCUUUUAUGUCGCAAGAAAAUGUUGCAAAUAGAUACGCGGCCAUAAAGACUUUGUCGCAAGAUGAUGCAUGACAUACUGCAAAAAGAUGCGCGGUAUCAUGAUCCUGCCACAGAAAAAAUGUAACCAUAACUCAUAGUUGACGAGAUGAACUUGAUGAUUUAAAAGAAUUUAAAUUCAUGAACUUGAUGAUUUCAAAGAAUGUGGGGCGAGUUUUCCAUAAGUAUGUGGCAGCUGCUGCAACUU